UCGGCAAAUAUCCUCAUAAGUUCGACAAGAAGAGGAACCAUGAAUUUAGUAAAUUAUUAACUCCUAUUAAUUUAUUUAUAUGGUGGCACAAAAUCGGAAGCCCCGACUGUUUACUAAAAACACAACUAUCUGCAAUUAUGAAAAUAAUAGUAUAGGUAGUGAGAUUUGCCCAAUGCCAGAUUAAUAAGUAAUAAUAAUGGGUAACUGUUUCUUUACAAAAAAUUGGUUAAUAGCGGUCUUAACUAUGAGGAUCCUAAGGUAGCAAAAUAAAUUGGCCAUUAAAUGUGGUCCAGUAUCAAUAAUUUAACGAUGGCUUCACUGUCUCUACAACUUGCUCAGUGAAAUUGAAUUACCCGUGCAGAUGCGGGUUACCUCAAAGAGGACGGGAAGACCCUAUGCA
rnacentral:rRNA from 1 species